rnacentral:rRNA from 1 species
UCACUCCUACGGGAGGCAGCAGUGGGGAAUAUUGGACAAUGGGCGCAAGCCUGAUCCAGCCAUGCCGCGUGAGUGAUGAAGGCCCUAGGGUUGUAAAGCUCUUUCACCGGUGAAGAUAAUGACGGUAACCGGAGAAGAAGCCCCGGCUAACUUCGUGCCAGCAGCCGCGGUAAUACGAAGGGGGCUAGCGUUGUUCGGAUUUACUGGGCGUAAAGCGCACGUAGGCGGACUAUUAAGUCAGGGGUGAAAUCCCGGGGCUCAACCCCGGAACUGCCUUUGAUACUGGUAGUCUUGAGUUCGAGAGAGGUGAGUGGAAUUCCGAGUGUAGAGGUGAAAUUCGUAGAUAUUCGGAGGAACACCAGUGGCGAAGGCGGCUCACUGGCUCGAUACUGACGCUGAGGUGCGAAAGCGUGGGGAGCAAACAGGAUUAGAUACCCUUGUAGUCCCAUG